rfam:Bacillus okhensis strain Kh10-101 contig45, whole genome shotgun sequence.
UGGCAAUGUCUCCUUGCCAUUAUCGACGGAGGCACUCGAUCACGCUGUGGGUUUCUUAAAACCUUAGACGCAUUAGUCGUCAUUGGUGUGGUGUGAGGAGGGGUUAGAUGCCUC